rnacentral:rRNA from 1 species
GAGUUUGAUCGUGGCUCAGAACGAACGUUGGCGGCGUGGAUUAGGCAUGCAAGUCGAACGAAUCCCAUGGGGGUAACUCUGUGGGGGAAGUGGCGAAAGGGGCAGUAAGGCGUGGGUAACCUACCCUGGGGACGUGGAUAGCCGUUCUAACGAGCGGGUAAUACGCGGCGAUUCAGCGAGGAGGCAUCUCUUUGCUGGGAAAUGAAUUUUGCCUCGGGAGGGGCUCACGUGAUAUUAGCUAGUUGGCGGGGUAACGGCCCACCAAGGCAAAGAUGUCUAGCGGGUGUGAGAGCACGACCCGCGCCACUGGCACUGAGACACUGGCCAGACACCUACGGGUGGCUGCAGUCGAGGAUCUUCGGCAAUGGGCGCAAGCCUGACCGAGCGACGCCGCGUGUGCGAUGAAGGCCUCGGUUGUAAGCACUGUCGAGGGGAGU